rnacentral:rRNA from 1 species
AGAGCAUGAAUGGGUUUAAAGUGCGCGUAGGUGGUUUGUUAAGUUGGAUGUGAAAUCCCCGGGCUCAACUUGGGAACUGCGUUCUGAACUGGGUGACUAGAGUGUGUCAGAGGGAGGUAGAAUUCCACGUGUAGCAGUGAAAUGCGUAGAGAUGUGGAGGAAUACCGAUGGCGAAGGCAGCCUCCUGGGAUAACACUGACGUUCAUGCCCGAAAGCGUGGGUAGCAAACAGGAUUAGAUACCCUGGUAGUCCACGCCCUAAACGAUGUCGAUUAGCUGUUGGGCAGCAUGACUGCUUAGUAGCGAAGCUAACGCGUGAAAUCGACCGCCUGGGGAGUACGGCCGCAAGGUUGAAACUUAAAUUAAUUGACGG